AGAGAUUUGAUCCUGGCUCAGAAUCAACGCAUGGCGGCGUGCCUAACACAUGCAAGUUCGCACGAGAAAGAGGGGGCAACUCCUUGAGUAAAGUGGCGUACGGGUGAGUAACACGUGACUAACCUACCUCCGAAUGGGGAAUAACCUCGGGAAACCGGGGCUAAUACCGCAUAACAUCUACGGAUCAAAGCAGCAAUGCGUUUGGAGAGGGGGUCGCGGCUGAUUAGCUAGUUGGUAAGGUAAUGGCUUACCAAGGCGACGAUCAGUAUCCGGCCUGAGAGGGCGCACGGACACACUGGAACUGAAACACGGUCCAGACUCCUACGGGAGGCAGCAGUGGGGAAUUUUGCGCAAUGGGGGAAACCCUGACGCAGCAACGCCGCGUGGAGGAUGAAGGUCUUUGGAUUGUAAACUCCUUUCGAUCGGGACGAUUAUGACGGUACCGGAAGAAGAAGCACCGGCUAACUCUGUGCCAGCAGCCGCGGUAAUACAGAGGGUGCAAGCGUUGUUCGGAAUUAUUGGGCGUAAAGGGCGCGUAGGCGGUGCGGUAAGUCUGUAGUGAAAUCUCUGGGCUCAACUCAGAGUCUGCUACGGAAACUGCCGUGCUUGAGUGUGGGAGAGGUGAGUGGAAUUCCCGGUGUA
rnacentral:rRNA from 1 species